GAUGAACGCUGGCGGCGUGCUUAACACAUGCAAGUCGAACGGAAAGGCUCCUGCUUGCAGGGGUACUCGAGUGGCGAACGGGUGAGUAACACGUGGGUGAUCUGCCCUGCACUUCGGGAUAAGCCUGGGAAACUGGGUCUAAUACCGGAUAGGACGAUGGUUUGGAUGCCAUUGUUGAAAGGUUUUUCGGUGUGGGAUGAGCUCGCGGCCUAUCAGCUUGUUGGUGGGGUAAUGGCCUACCAAGGCGUCGACGGCUCGCCGGCCUGUGAGGGUGUACGGCCACAUUAGGACUGAGAUACGGCCCAGACUCCUACGGGGGGCAGCAGUGGGGAAUAUUGCACAAUGGGCGCAAGCCUGAUGCAGCUACCCCGCGUGGGGGAUACCGGCCUUCGGAUAGUCAACACCUUUCGCUAGGGACGAAGCGCAAGUGACGGUACCUGGAGAAGAAGCCACGGCUAACUACGUG
rnacentral:rRNA from 1 species